UACGUAGGGUGCGAGCGUUGUCCGGAUUUAUUGGGCGUAAAGAGCUCGUAGGCGGUUUGUCGCGUCGGCCGUGAAAUCUCCACGCUUAACGUGGAGCGUGCGGUCGAUACGGGCAGGCUAGAGUUCGGUAGGGGAGACUGGAAUUCCCGGAGUAGUGGUGAAAUGCGUAGAUAUCGGGAGGAACACCGGAGGCGAAGGCGGCCAGCUGGCGCUGACCUGACGCUGAGGCGCGAAGGCUUGGGGAGCGAACGGG
rnacentral:rRNA from 1 species